UGGCGAUAAUGGCUGGCUAUGGCAUUAUAUCUAGCAACGUUGCGUGGCUUAGGAACAGUUGAGUUUCGUCUGCGCUUGAAGGCAGUUUCAAGGCCGGAGAGUCAUUUUUUUUCUCCCGGGAAGGCCAUAUAAUUUCCGCAAACCGAGCUUCCGUGGUUAAUUUGGCCCGUGACUUCCUCUUCGUUGGACCUGUAUAAUUUAACAGGCUAUGAUUGUUGCUCUUUCCCCUGUGAGAACAGCCUACAGAUGGACCACUGGGUUUUCAAGAUUGCGUCCUGAAGGAUGGCCACCACAUUUAAUUUCAACUCUGAUGGCACUCUCCGGCAUUGGGCUUUCCAUGUUUAGUGCUGCACAGUUGUCCACUCUUCCAGCAUCACCACACAAACAAUAUUUCCCAAGAGGACCAUGGAAUUGAAAAUAGACCAAAUUAGACCUGUUAUUAAAUUCUGACAAUGAACAAUGACCUUUCUUGGUGCCAUGGUUUUUAUCAUUAAGUAUCAUACAAUGGCUGGCUUAUUUAUCAAUCUUGCACAAUGUUUCGUCAAGUGUUUAUAACCAACAAAUAAAAUUUUUAGUCUUCA